UACGGGGGGGGAAAGCGUUGUUCGGAAUUACUGGGCGUAAAGGGCUCGUAGGCGGCCAACUAAGUCAGACGUGAAAUCCCUCAGCUUAACUGGGGAACUGCGUCUGAUACUGGAUGGCUUGGAUUCGGGAGAGGAAUGCGGAAUUCCAGGUGUAGCGGUGAAAUGCGUAGAUAUCUGGAGGAACACCCGUGGCGAAGGCGGCUCUCUGGGACGGUACUGACGCUGAGACGCGAAAGCGUGGGGAGCGAACAGG
rnacentral:rRNA from 1 species